CAGGCCACCUCUGCAAGGCUACUAAGGCUUUCUUGGGUGAGGCUCGGGAAAACAGGGACAUCAUGAGCAGGCAUUCAGGUAUCCAGGCUCCCUCACACACCAGUCUGCAGAAACGUGCUUUUGCUUCCCAACCACUGCUUCCAACAACAGACUGAGUUUUUUUUCUUUGAAGUCUCCUAGGAAACUUUUUACAUCAGAGCAGGGACUUAUUUCUACAUAUGCAACUACCUACUCUCCCACAAGUGUGCUCAGUUGCUGCUCUGCUGUGGCUGAAUGUCACUGGGUGCAGUUUGCACGCCAAGUCUGAGACAGGACAAGCCUUGCUGUGGAAAUGGCGAGCACACGGUGUGAAUGUGUUAAUCUCAGUCGUUUGUCCUGCACGUGCUCUUUUGCACACUACAUACUGUGUCCACAGAAGACUGCAGCAAAAAUCAGCAUAGCUUCAAAACCACCCAGCACAUCCCGAAGAAACGCUGCCUGGUGAAGCUUCAAGAAAGGACCUUGCAGCAGAAGGCAGCGCUGGCAUCCCCGUGAUGUCCCGGGGCUGGCAGCCCCGAGGAGCCCGACUGUCCAUGCCCGAGGUGUCGCUGAUCCGGCGGUGAGCCGGCCUCUCUGCUGUGUGUCUGUCCAGCAGCAGGUGGCUCUCAGCCUGCUGCCCUGCCAGCACAGCUCCGGUUCCUUUGCACGCUGCGGUUUGGGCAGGCAGCCUCCGAGCACACGGCAGGAGCGAAGAGCAGCGAGCAGGCACAGCCCGUGCUGUCCCGGCCCCGGGGAGCAGCCCCGUCUGCCCCAUGGGAGCAGGGAAGGCCGCGCAGGAUGCGCUGGGUACCAGCGCAGUCAAGCCCAAGGGCAUUGGAAACCUACCCUGUCGCUAUGCUCGCAUCAAUUAGUAUUUUUAAUGUUAGUUUCUUAAAACGCGUGGAAGGAAUGCAGCCGCCCCCUGCUGCCAGCUGGCAGCUCCUCGGCUUACCCGGAGCCCUUAGCACCAGCAGCCAGCAAACAGCGUGCUUAAAUCUGGGCUGCGGUGUGUUCCUCACCUGGCCCUGAUCUGCUCCCAACACAAGGACUGCCCCACGCGGGAUGGCCAGUGACCCCAGCCCAAAGCAGUGCCCUGCCUCCCGGUGUUACACAGCAGACACAAGGGAAACCAACGCGGCAAGUCCCCCAGCCUUGCCAAAGGACAGGGUCCUAGAGGGUGGAGGAAUGAUCAUCUUGCCCAAGCAGAGGCCCCCCCGAGAGCUCUGGUUGAGGUCUGUCAUGGUUUCUGUGUAAUUUUGUUCCAUCUUUUUGCCCAGCAUGGGGUUUCUGCGCUCCUUACCCAGCAUACAGCACAGCUGUUAACUGCAGCCUUCCAUCCUCUUCAGAUGUGAGCACCCAGCACUUCUCUUGAAACGUGGCCAUGCCUUGGAUGCACAUCUGAGGCUCUUAGAGGACCAUUUUAGUGGGAUGGUAAGCCAGAAUCCCAGACUGUGUUCCUCUCAAUCCAACACAGCUGGCACUUGUCCUUUAGGCUUAGGUCAACCUGGUGGGCAGCAGUUUUCCACUGCACCCUGUGUCACAGCCAGGUGUGGCUGGGAACCACCAGGAAGGUGUUUCUUCCCAGACUUCCUUGAAGAGCUCAGCUACUUCCCAGAGCAGGUUCAGUGCAAAAAAUAGCAGCUACUACAGCUGCAAAUGCCACCAGAAGAGGGUUUGUUGUUUUCCUACCUUUUAAAUGAUAGCUCAGCAAUUAUUGCACAAACCCGGUAGUGUUGGUAGUCAAGGUCCUGUCCCUCCUUUGUCUUCAGACCCAUAAAAUCCCACCUUCUGGGAGACUGCCCCCAAACACCAGAUUAUUUUCUGUUUCAAGAGCAAGGGCAAUAUGUGUUCACUCACAUAUUGAACUGCUUGCUCAGUGCAAGACAAAUUCAGAGUUCACUGGGCCAUGGAGCAGCUAUGGCACGGUGCUUUUCCUGGGCAAGAUGAGAUUUGUGUCCCAACCAUAACUCCUGGCUGUGUGUACAUGUCAUCCAGCGCCUGACUCAUGCAAAAUUCCUAAACAUGUCCUAGGGAAGGUGCUGAAACACUGAUUUCUGCUUUCCAAGAUAAACACUUAGCUAGAAAUCAGUCUUCCUUCUCUCCAGGCCACUUUGACUGUCACAGCAAGAGGGAACCUUGCUGGUUUGGUACACAAAACACACACUUGAGAUAAAUUCCUCUACAGGAAGCUGUAGUAGGAUUUCCAUUGCUCUGAAGCCUAGACUAAAAGUGUGGGUGGGCAAGAGAAAAUAAGUGCUUUUGUGGUUUGUUUUCUUUAAAAAUAUUUUUGUGGUUUCAAUGAAAUUGGGUUUUGUUGUUUCAAUUAAUUUGAGUUUUGUUGUUUUAGUGAAAGCCUGCCCAUCUGUGGACAUAUGAUAUGUCUUUGAAAAGCCUUGGCUCCCACAUGCUCUGUGGAAACUUCUUCAGCUGUUCAUUGCUUAAAACUUCCAAAGACUCCCACUCUCACGUAUGAUCUUCUCCUGGCACCGCCUGUUUGUAGAGCAUCCAGCCCUAAAAAUGCUUCUUUCCACGGAGGACUAUUUGCAUGUGAGACAGUGUAUGUCCCCUGUUCCUUCCUUUGUGAAGGGCCAGAGUGGCAGUACUCACUUCCUUCACCCCUGAAGCACUCUGAAAAUUUUGAAAGAUUUCAAAACCAGGUGUGGGGCUAGAGCCUGUUUCACACUUCGCUCAGGGUUCAGCAUCUCUGCAGUCAUGACAUGACUGGCAUUUGUGGUGCCAGAAUCAGGCUCCCAGCCUUUACACCAAGACAUGUCUGGGUUAUGCCCUUGGGAU